UCUUGUGGAAACACGAGAGUGCCUUCGGGAGCCCGAAGACAGGUGCUGCAUGGCUGUCGUCAGCUCGUGUCGUGAGAUGUUCGGGUUAAGUCCCGCAACGAGCCGCAACCCUUAUCCCUAGUUGCCAUCAGGUAAAGCUGGGAACUCUGGGGAGACUGCCGGUGAUAAACCGGAGGAAGGCGGGGAUGACGUCAAGUCCUCAUGGCCCUUACAUCCCGGGCUACACACGUGCUACAAUGGCAGGUACAGAGGGCUGCGAAGCCGCGAGGUGGAGCGAAUCCCAGAAAACCUGUCUCAGUCCGGAUUGAAGUCUGCAACUCGACUUCAUGAAGGCGGAAUCGCUAGUAACCGCGAAUCAGCAGGUCCGCGGUCGAAUACGUUCCCGGGCCUU
rnacentral:rRNA from 1 species